GGCCAGUUAGCUCAGUCGGUUGAGCGUGGUGCUGAUAACACCAAGGUUGCAGGUUCGAUCCCCGUUCGGUCCC
rnacentral:tRNA from 1 species